rnacentral:ncRNA from 5 species
CACACCGCCCGUCGCUACUACCGA